rnacentral:miRNA from 1 species
UGUAAACACCCUUGACUGAAAGAC